AUGGCUGUCGUCAGCUCGUGUCGUGAGAUGUUGGGUUAAGUCCCGCAACGAGCGCAACCCCCGUUCCAUGUUGCCAGCAUUAAGUUGGGGACUCAUGGGAGACUGCCGGUGACAAACCGGAGGAAGGUGGGGAUGACGUCAAGUCAUCAUGCCCCUUAUGUCCAGGGCUACACACGUGCUACAUUGGCGCAUACAAAGGGCAGCAAUACCGCGAGGUGGAGCAAAUCCCAUAAAGUGCGUCUCGGUUCGGAUUGGAGGCUGAAACUCGCCUCCAUGAAGGUGGAGUUGCUAGUAAUCGCAGAUCAGCAAUGCUGCGGUGAAUACGUUCCCGGGCCUUGUACACACCGCCCGUCACACCACGAAAGCGAGUAACACCCGAAGCCGGUGGCCUAACCGCAGGGAGGGAGCCGUCGAAGGUGGGGCUCGUGACUGGGGUGAAGUCGUAACAAGGUAGCCGUAGCGGAAGCUGCGGCUGGAUCACCUCCUUUCUAGGGAGCACGAAGCUGUGCCCCGGUCGUGGAGCCAUCGCGAGAUGGCUCAUGCGGUCGCCAGGUCCUUGAGACCGGGCGAUGCCAAGCAAGACCGGGCCUAGCAUGUCGACCGAACCUGGCUGGACGGCCGCCGUCCGAGUGUGUCCCUUACUACUUAGGGAUCACAUCGGGCCCGGCCACAAAACGACCCCAGCAUGCUGUUGAGUUUUGAGAGACCGGCGUCCGCCGGUGCCCGCGUGGACACGCCAAUGAGGCGUGACCGACAUACACGGAUACCGGCCGGCGUUUACGCCUCUUCACGGUCCUUGAAAACUGCACAGAAGCCACAUCAGCCGCCAUCGAUAAGCGGCGGCUGAAUAACGGGUAUCACCGGGCCCUCUAUGGCCGAAAUAGUUCGCAAAGCUAUUUUGAACCAUGUUGGGCCAGAUCACCGUCAAGAUAGUAAGGGCACACGGUGGAUGCCUUGGCACCAAGAGUCGAAGAAGGGCGUGAACGGCUGCGAUAAGCCACGGUUAGGCGCUUAAUAGCCUAUGACCCGUGGAUUCCCGAAUGGGGAAACCCGG
rnacentral:sRNA from 1 species